rnacentral:rRNA from 1 species
CCUACGGGUGGCAGCAGUGAGGAAUAUUGGUCAAUGGGCUUACGCCUGAACCAGCCAAGUCGCGUGAGGGAAGACUGCCCUAUGGGUUGUAAACCUCUUUUGUCAGGGAACAAAGGCGGGGACUAGUCCCCGGAUGAGGGUACCUGAAGAAAAAGCAUCGGCUAACUCCGUGCCAGCAGCCGCGGUAAUACGGAGGAUGCGAGCGUUAUCCGGAUUUAUUGGGUUUAAAGGGUGCGCAGGCGGCCUGUUCAGUCAGCGGUAAAAGCCCGGGGCUCAACCCCGGCGAGCCGUUGAAACUGGCGUGCUGGAGUUGGAGAGAGGUACGCGGAAUGCGCGGUGUAGCGGUGAAAUUCUUAGAGAUCGCGCAGAACCCCGAUUGCGAAGGCAGCGUACCGGCUCCACACUGACGCUGAGGCACGAAAGCGUGGGUAUCGAACAGGAUUAGAUACCCUUGUAGUC